rnacentral:rRNA from 1 species
GAGUAGUGCAGAGGUAGGUGGAAUUCCCGGUGUAGCGGUGGAAUGCGUAGAUAUCGGGAGGAACACCAGUGGCGAAGGCGACCUACUGGGCACCAACUGACGCUGAGGCUCGAAAGCAUGGGUAGCAAACAGGAUUAGAUACCCUGGUAGUCCAUGCCGUAAACGAUGAUUACUAGGUGUUGGAGGAUUGACCCCUUCAGUGCCGCAGUUAACACAAUAAGUAAUCCACCUGGGGAGUACGACCGCAAGGUUGAAACUCAAAGGAAUUGACGGGGGCCCGCACAAGCAGUGGAGUAUGUGGUUUAAUUCGAAGCAACGCGAAGAACCUUACCAGGUCUUGACAUCCGAUGCAUAGUGCAGAGAUGCAUGAAGUCCUUCGGGACAUCGAGACAGGUGGUGCAUGGUUGUCGUCAGCUCGUGUCGUGAGAUGUUGGGUUAAGUCCCGCAACGAGCGCAACCCUUAUUGCCAGUUACUACGCAAGAGGACUCUGGCGAGACUGCCGUUGACAAAACGGAGGAAGGUGGGGAUGACGUCAAAUCAUCAUGCCCUUUAUGACCUGGGCUACACACGUACUACAAUGGCGUUUAACAAAGAGAAGCAAGACCGCGAGGUGGAGCAAAACUCAAAAACAACGUCUCAGUUCAGAUUGCAGGCUGCAACUCGCCUGCAUGAAGUCGGAAUUGCUAGUAAUCGCGGAUCAGCAUGCCGCGGUGAAUACGUUCCCGGGCCUUGUACACACCGCCCGUCACACCAUGAGAGCCGGGGGGACCCGAAGUCGGUAGUCUAACCGCAAGGAGGACGCCGCCGAAGGUAAAACUGGUGAUCGGGGUGAAGUCGUAACAAGGUAACCA